rnacentral:rRNA from 1 species
UACGGAGGGUGCAAGCGUUAAUCGGAAUUACUGGGCGUAAAGGGUGCGUAGGUGGUUUGAUAAGUCACAUGUAGAAGCCCCGGGCUCAACCUGGGAAAGUCGUGUGAUACUGUUGGACUUGAGUACGGGAGAGGGCAGUGGAAUUUCCGGUGUAGCGGUGAAAUGCGUAGAUAUCGGAAGGAACACCGGUGGCGAAGGCGGCUGCCUGGCCUGAUACUGACACUGAGGCACGAAAGCGUGGGGAGCAAACAGG